rnacentral:tRNA from 1 species
AGAGUGUUAGUUAAAAUAUAACCUUAGUUUGUCAAACUAAAAUUACGUUUUGUGCACUCUA